GGGCCCGCACAAGCGGUGGAGCAUGUGGUUUAAUUCGAUGCAACGCGAAGAACCUUACCUACUCUUGACAUCCAGAGAAGCUUGAAGAGAUUCGAGUGUGCCUUCGGGAACUCUGAGACAGGUGCUGCAUGGCUGUCGUCAGCUCGUGUUGUGAAAUGUUGGGUUAAGUCCCGCAACGAGCGCAACCCUUAUCCUUGUUUGCAGCACUUCGGGUGGGAACUCCAGGGAGACUGCCGGUGAUAAACCGGAGGAAGGUGGGGACGACGUCAAGUCAUCAUGGCCCUUACGAGUAGGGCUACACACGUGCUACAAUGGCAUAUACAGAGGGCAGCAAGACCGCGAGGUGGAGCGAAUCCCAUAAACCGUGGCUCAGUUCAGAUCGUAGGCUGCAACUCGCCUACGUG
rnacentral:rRNA from 1 species